rnacentral:RNase_P_RNA from 1 species
GGAGCGGCUCGGGUGAUCGCUGGUGGUCGCGAGGCCACGAGAGGAAAGUCCGAGCUCCACAGGGCAGGAUGCCAGCCAACCGCUGGUGGGGGCGACCCCGAGGACAGUGCAACAGAGAGAGACCGCCUCGUCCGCUCGAGAGGGCGCACGCGGUAAGGGUGAAACGGCGAGGUAAGAGCUCACCGGGCCGGCGGUAACGACGGUCGCUAGGCAAACCCCAUCCGGAGCAAGACCAAACAGGAGGCGUUCGAGGGCGGCCCGCCCGAGCCUCCGGGUGUGUCGCUGGAGGCCUGCGGUGACGCAGGUCCUAGAGGAAUGGUCACCGCCUGCGUACCGGCGACGGACGCGGGAACAGAACUCGGCUUACGAGCCCUCCGACC